UUGAUCAAUCCAGUUAUCCCAUGAAGCUCCUGUUGCGUGCUCAAAAACCAGAUGGAGUCCAAAGUGAUGCACAUAGCAUCAUUAAGGGCCUGUGUAUCUGCCAACGGAAUCAAACUCUCAGCAAGCUCCCAAUCAUGUGAACUAACUGCACCCUGAAACAGCCGGCCUAACUCCAUCCUGUCUUGUUUAGUGAGUUUCCUGUCAUGGCCAACAUUCCCUUUCUUGCCAACCUCAGACUCAAUUACAACUGCUUGUGACUUGAGUUUCUUUGCACCACAACGAUAGACACCACUCCUUCUUGACUCUUUACUUACAAGGGGUCCUUCUCUUGAGAAAACCACAUUACUUCCCUCACCUUUUUCUGAUGUCAAC
rnacentral:misc_RNA from 1 species